GAGUAAAGUAACCAUGCCCAUAAGGUUC
rnacentral:sRNA from 1 species